AGUGAACGCUGGCGGUAGGCCUAACACAUGCAAGUCGAACGGCAGCACAGUAAGAGCUUGCUCUUACGGGUGGCGAGUGGCGGACGGGUGAGGAAUACAUCGGAAUCUACUUUUUCGUGGGGGAUAACGUAGGGAAACUUACGCUAAUACCGCAUACGACCUACGGGUGAAAGCAGGGGAUCUUCGGACCUUGCGCGAUUGAAUGAGCCGAUGUCGGAUUAGCUAGUUGGCGGGGUAAAGGCCCACCAAGGCGACGAUCCGUAGCUGGUCUGAGAGGAUGAUCCGCCACACUGGAACUGAGAAACGGUCCAGACUCCUACGGGAGGCAGCAGUGGGGAAUAUUGGACAAUGGGCGGAAGCCUGAUCCAGCCAUACCGCGUGGGUGAAGAAGGCCUUCGGGUUGUAAAGCCCUUUUGUUGGGAAAGAAAAGCAGCAGGUUAAUACCCCGCUGUUCUGACGGUACCCAAAGAAUAAGCACCGGCUAACUUCGUG
rnacentral:rRNA from 1 species